CCAUCACGGGUCGCUUCCAGCAGCCAGAAGGACUUCAUUUAACAACGCAAAGUACAGGGUGUCCCGCCACAGAUUGUCUCAGCACUGGGAAGAUUCUGCUCCGUUUUCUCCCGUUCUGCAUGGAUUCUCUCUCGAAGGAAGCCGUCUUUCCAAUCGUCCCUCUGGGAUAGGUGGUGAACACAAAGGGAGAUUCAACCCGUACUAGUAAUCUUCACAACCCCUUUGCAUUCACCGCCCUCAGCACCUGCUGAGCAGUGGCCACAGCUGGCCGGCGUUCAUGUGCUUCAUCAGACCUAAGAAGGACGGGCAGU